AUAAUAUUGAGAAUUAUCUCCAGCUCUCUCUCUCUCUCUCUCUCUUUUCUCUUCAAGAUUAAAACAACUGUUUUUAGUUGUUUUAGGUUCUUCAAGAAAUUCUCAUAUCUGCAAACCAAGUGUGAAGGAAAGAUGAACUUCUAGAAGAAUUCAUGUUAUAAGGAGAAGUUGCAGAAAUUGAGGUGAGUUGGACGUGGUUCUGGAGGAAGGUUUGGGCAGCAACUUCAACGCUUGAACAUCAAUUAAGGUGUAGGCACAGGUGGACGAUAGAGCUACAGGAUCUUCGCUACAGUUAUCUUGACGUUCAGCAUUCAUCCGUCUUUGGUAGGUCCUCAUGCUUUCGAGGAUGCUGCUAUUUUAUAUUCUAGCUUAAUUGUAGAGUUGAGCUAGUGGAGCAUGUCCCACUAGCGUUUCAUUCCUGUUUUAAUUCAGACUAUGUAUUGGUGCCAUUUUGGCAAUUAUACACUUAAUAAGAAUUGAACUAUUUCUUUUA